rnacentral:rRNA from 1 species
AGUGAACGCUGGCGGUAGGCCUAACACAUGCAAGUCGAACGGCAGCACAGUAAGAGCUUGCUCUUACGGGUGGCGAGUGGCGGACGGGUGAGGAAUACAUCGGAAUCUACUUUUUCGUGGGGGAUAACGUAGGGAAACUUACGCUAAUACCGCAUACGACCUACGGGUGAAAGCAGGGGAUCUUCGGACCUUGCGCGAUUGAAUGAGCCGAUGUCGGAUUAGCUAGUUGGCGGGGUAAAGGCCCACCAAGGCGACGAUCCGUAGCUGGUCUGAGAGGAUGAUCAGCCACACUGGAGCUGAGACACGGUCCAGACUCCUACGGGAGGCAGCAGUGGGGAAUAUUGGACAAUGGGCGCAAGCCUGAUCCAGCCAUACCGCGUGGGUGAAGAAGGCCUUCGGGUUGUAAAGCCCUUUUGUUGGGAAAGAAAAGCAGCAGGUUAAUACCCCGCUGUUCUGACGGUACCCAAAGAAUAAGCACCGGCUAACUUCGC